rnacentral:rRNA from 1 species
GGAGUUAGCCGGUGCUUCUUCUGCGAGUAACGUCACAGAUGUAAGGUAUUAACUUACACCCUUUCCUCCUCGCUGAAAGUGCUUUACAACCCGAAGGCCUUCUUCACACACGCGGCAUGGCUGCAUCAGGGUUUCCCCCAUUGUGCAAUAUUCCCCACUGCUGCCUCCCGUAGGAGUCUGGGCCGUGUCUCAGUCCCAGUGUGGCUGAUCAUCCUCUCAGACCAGCUAGGGAUCGUCGCCUAGGUGAGCCUUUACCUCACCUACUAGCUAAUCCCACCUGGGCUUAUCCAUCAGCGCAAGGCCCGAAGGUCCCCUGCUUUCCCCCGUAGGGCGUAUUCGGUAUUAGCAGUCGUUUCCAACUGUUAUCCCCACAAAUGGGCAAAUUCCCAGGCAUUACUCACCCGUCCGCCGCUCGUCAUCUUCAAAAGCAAGCUUUUGAAAUGUUACCGCUCGACUUGCAUGUGUUAGGCCUGCCGCCAGCGUUCAAUCUGAGCCAGGAUCAAACUCUGA